rnacentral:rRNA from 1 species
UACGUAGGGGGCUAGCGUUGUCCGGAAUCAUUGGGCGUAAAGAGCGCGUAGGCGGCCAGAUAAGUCCGGUGUGAAAGUCAAAGGCUCAACCUUUGAAUGCCGCUGGAAACUGUCUGGCUAGAGUCCGGGAGGGGCGAGUGGAAUUCCUGGUGUAGCGGUGAAAUGCGCAGAUAUCAGGAGGAACACCAGCGGCGAAGGCGGCGCUCUGGGCUGGAACUGACGCUGAGGAGCGAAAGCGUGGGGAGCGAACAGG